rnacentral:rRNA from 1 species
AUUGAACGCUGGCGGCAUGCCUUACACAUGCAAGUCGAACGGUAACGGGCCUUCGGGUGCCGACGAGUGGCGAACGGGUGAGUAAUGUAUCGGAACGUACCUUUCAGUGGGGGAUAACGUAGCGAAAGUUACGCUAAUACCGCAUAUUCUGUGAGCAGGAAAGCAGGGGAACGCAAGACCUUGCGCUUAUUGAGCGGGCGAUAUCAGAUUAGAUAGUCGGUGAGGUAAAGGCUCAACAAGGCGACGAUCUGUAGCGGGUCUGAGAGGAUGAUCCGCCACACUGGAACUGAGACACGGUCCAGACUCCUACGGGAGGCAGCAGUGGGGAAUUUUGGACAAUGGGGGCAACCCUGAUCCAGCCAUGCCGCGUGAGUGAAGAAGGCCUUCGGGUUGUAAAGCUCUUUCGGCCGGGAAGAAAUCGUAUCAGCUAAUACCUGGUGCGGAUGACGGUACCGGCAUAAGAAGCACCGGCUAACUACGUGCCAGCCGCCGCCGUAAUAC